AUAAAGUGAUGAAAUUUUAUUCUAUCUACCACAUAAGAAGAGAAAAAUUAUGACUCCAAUUCUCAAGUUUAUAUACAUCCUGUCUAUAUAUUUUUUCUUAUUUUUUGUUGCAGCAAAUGUUAAUGGUAAGUUUUUCAAUUUUUCUUCAAUAUUUUUUAUUUUAGUUUUUUACUUAUUUGUUUGUUCAGAAUCUUGUCUCAUUUUAGCAAUAUAGUUUAUUAUCUUUUUUCAUUAUAGGUGCUCCAGAAUGUAAAGAAGAUUCUGAUUGUGUCUGCGAGGUGCACAAGAUAUCACUGUGUAUUGAUGGUUUGUGUGCAGCAUGUCUUAUGGAUAGUUAAAGCGAUAAUAGAGACCCCUUGAAUGGAUGAAUAAAUAUUGUACUAAAACAAGAUCUAUGUAAUAUAUAAUAAGAUACUAAAAAAUGAAUGGAUGAAUCAGUGUUGUAUCAACACAAGAUCUAUGUAAUAUUAUGUUUUAAGACAAUAAAAACUUAAUAUUUAUACUUUUGAAAGUGUUGUUUCUAUUACGAUAUUCAAUUUUUUAUUUAUGCUUUUGUGUUUUUGAAAAAAGAAUAUAGUUAUAUUAGGAAUGUCCAACCAACAUUUUUAUGGAUUAAGUUUAA
rnacentral:lncRNA from 1 species